rnacentral:misc_RNA from 1 species
GAUGAAGAACGCAGCGAAAUGCGAUAAGUACUGUGAAUUGCAGAAUUCAGUGAAUCAUCGAAUCUUUGAACGCACAUUGCGCCCGCCAGUAUUCUGGCGGGCAUGCCUGUUCGAGCGUCAUUACAACCCUCAGGCCCCCGGGCCUGGCGUUGGGGAUCGGCGGAGCCCCCCGUGGGCACACGCCGUCCCCCAAAUGCAGUGGCGGUCCCGCCGCAGCUUCCAUCGCGUAGUAGCUAACACCUCGCGACUGGAGAGCGGCGCGGCCACGCCGUAAAACACCCAACUCUUCUGAAGUUGACCUCGAAUCAGGUAGGAAUACCCGCUGAACUUAAGCAUAUCAAUAAGCGGAGGA